rnacentral:rRNA from 1 species
UACGAAGGGGGCUAGCGUUGCUCGGAAUUACUGGGCGUAAAGCGCACGUAGGCGGCUUCUUAAGUCGGUGGUGAAAUCCUGGAGCUCAACUCCAGAACUGCCUUCGAUACUGGGAGGCUCGAGUCCGGGAGAGGUGAGUGGAACUGCGAGUGUAGAGGUGAAAUUCGUAGAUAUUCGCAAGAACACCAGUGGCGAAGGCGGCUCACUGGCCCGGUAUGACGCUGAGGUGCGAAAGCGUGGGGAGCAACAGG